rnacentral:lncRNA from 1 species
GGACAAACAAGGACAGACAAAGGGAUUAAGUCGAUUACAUCGACCCUAGUGCGUUAUUAGUACUCAUUUAAUUAACCCCGAAAGGAUGAAAGGCAAAGUUGACCUCGGUGGAAUUUGAACUUAUAACGUAACAGCAGACGAAAUACCUAUUUCUUUACCACACACAAGAGGCUAAACACAGAGAAGACAAACAAGGACAUACAAACGGAUUAAGUCGAUUAUAUUGACCCCGGUGCAUAAGUGGUACUUAUUUAAUCGACCCCGAAAGGAUAAAAGGCAAAGUCGACCUCGGCGGAAUUUGAACUCAGAACGUAGCGGCAGACGAAAUACUGCCAAGCAUUUCGCCCGGCGUGCUAACGAUUCUCGCCGUCCUUGUAUAUAAUAUCUUUAUUAUCCGGUCCGGUGACCUGCCCUACGAAUACGAUUCUUUAAUGCCAGAUGUCCCUAACGAGCGAUGUGGGGUAUGAGCGUCCGACUUUUAGACACAUGUGUCAUUCACAAACUGAAAUAUCCCUUAUGCAUAUGCCAUGACGACAGAUGAUAGCAGCAGUAAACUUACUGAAUUAUUUAAUCCUGAUCAUUGACAGUUUGUUGUCUCUUCAUCUGUUCAGUAUCAGGCGUUGAUCUACGGCGCAGGCGUUGCGCUGUGGUAAGAAGCUGGCUUCCAACAACAUGGUUUCGGGCUCCGUUCCACUGCAUGGCACUUUGCACAAGUGUCUUCUAGUAUAGCCCCUGACCGACCAAAGCCUUGUGCGUGGAUUUAGUCGACGAAGACUGAAAGAAGCACGUCAUAUAUAUAUAUAUAUAUAUAUAUAUAUAUAUAUAUACAAAUACAUAUACAUAUAUACAUAUCACACCGUCUCCGAUGAAGGGAUAUUAGUAAUUAAUAUCCUAGAAACAGCUGUAAGACAUUCUAUCUAUAAAUGCUCUAAUAUCUAUACAGCCUUGGAUUUUUAUCUCAUUACGCAAAAAAUUCAUAUAUACACACGCUGACAUAGAACCAACGUUGAACCCUUUAUUCGCAAUAUUACCGAAUCUGGAACUUAACUAUGGUCUGUCUAUAGCAUUUAUUCAGCAUUACCUAGCACUUAUAUACAUACAGGGCGAAGUCACUAGAUAUGUAAGUAAGUCAUCUAAUCACCCCGCGAAUAUACUAAAAUCAUUAGUUAAAAAUAUUUCUCAAAGAAUUUCAAAAUUAUCAUCAAGUAGUGAAAUCUUUAACUCUCACUCUAACCAUUACAAUAUCGCAUUAUCCAAGGCUGGAUAUGACCAGGAAAUCACCUUCCUUGAUAUGGAUAGCUCAAAUCUCCUAAAUAAUAUAGUGAAUGGAAAUUACGUAAGUAAUAUAAACUCUCAUACCCUACAUAAACAUGAAUUAAUAGAGAAAAAGAACCUAGUGUAUAAACCUAAUUAUAGGAAUAAAAAUAGUGAACAGACCAUAAAUAAAUAUAAAAA